CCUACGGGUGGCAGCAGUGGGGAAUAUUGGUCAAUGGGGGAAACCCUGAUGCCGCGACGCCGCGUGAGUGAAGAAGUAAUUCGUUAUGUAAAGCUUUAUCAGCAGGGAAGCAAAUGAUGGUACUUGAGUAAGAAGCCGCGGAUAACUACGUGCCAUCAGCCGCGGUAAUACGUAGGCGACCAGCGUUAUCCGGAUUUACUGGGUGUACAGGGUGCGUAGACGGCAGUGAAAGUCUGGCGUGAAAGGCGGGGGCUCAAUCCCCGGACUGCUCGGGAAACUGAACGGCUGGAGUGCAGGAGGGGUAAGUGGAAUUCCUAGGGUAGCGGUGAAAUGCGUAGAUAUUGGGAAGAACACCAGUGGCGAAGGCGGCAUACUGGACUGUAACUGACGUUGAGGCUCGAAAGCGUGGGGAGCGAACAGGAUUAGAUACCCGUGUAGUC
rnacentral:rRNA from 1 species